GAUCACUAUCAUCCCAAGUAGGGAGACUGACUUGAUGUUAUGAAUUUGGUCAAACCACUAAAAGUGCAGGGAGCCAAAUCUGCCUAAAGUGAAAUCAGAACCCCGAAGUCUCUCUCCAUUUGACUGUCAACAGCACAAGAGGAAGACGGUGACAGCUGGGAAACUGCAUCCAAAUGUCUGACCCAAGAUUCUUAAGUCACUUGAUAAAUGACUGAGGAGGAAUUCUGCAUGAAUUGCUGACUAGAGUAUGGAGAUGCAAGGAUGGCAUUUGAAGUCUGUCUCAAAGAGCUAAUGGGGCAGUUGAAGGGCCACCCCAGAAGGAGCCAGGAGUGAUGUUAUGAUCAUGAUCCUGGUGUUCAGGAUGACCUGGCUCCAUUCUGCCUCUAGAACAUUCUUUUAUGAGUAAACAUUUGGCAGGUUUUAGAACCACAUCCAUUUCCCACAUGUGAGCCAGAAGUGAGGGAGCUGGAGUGGAAGGGAAUUAAGGCAGGGAGAGGUAGGGGUGAGGAUGGGGGAUGGGGAAGACAUUACAAUCUGAGAAGUUCUUAAGGACAUUCCAGGUCAGUAGAACCCAUGAAAGGAACUAAACUUUGUUCUUCUGAAUCUGAAAUUAGCUUCAUUGUGCAAUUUACCAGACAAGAGAGCUGUCUGAUUAGUACAUUGAGCAUCCUAACAGAAUUAACUGACCAGUGGGCUACUCCUUUUCAUAUAUAGUUAUCACCACAUACAUAUGAGGUAGGAAUGAAACCCUUAUUGCUAUCUCUAGUUUGGAAACUUUAAGUCACUCUUCAAUAAACUAACUCCUACUCCAGGA